ensembl:snRNA U6 U6 spliceosomal RNA
GUGUUUGCUUCGGCAGCACAUAUACUAAAAUUGGAACGAUACAGCGAAGAUUAGCAUGGCCCCUGCGCAAGAAUGACAUGCAAAUUCAUGAAGCGUUCCAUAUUUUG